rnacentral:rRNA from 1 species
AUUGAACGCUGGCGGCAUGCCUUACACAUGCAAGUCGAACGGCAGCACGGGUGCUUGCACCUGGUGGCGAGUGGCGGACGGGUGAGUAAUACAUCGGAACAUGUCCUGUAGUGGGGGAUAGCCCGGCGAAAGCCGGAUUAAUACCGCAUACGAUCUACGGAUGAAAGCGGGGGACCUUCGGGCCUCGCGCUAUCGGGUUGGCCGAUGGCUGAUUAGCUAGUUGGUGGGGUAAAGGCCUACCAAGGCGACGAUCAGUAGCUGGUCUGAGAGGACGACCAGCCACACUGGGACUGAGACACGGCCCAGACUCCUACGGGAGGCAGCAGUGGGGAAUUUUGGACAAUGGGCGAAAGCCUGAUCCAGCAAUGCCGCGUGUGUGAAGAAGGCCUUCGGGUUGUAAAGCACUUUUGUCCGGAAAGAAAUCCUUGGCCCUAAUACGGUCGGGGGAUGACGGUACCGGAAGAAUAAGCACCGGCUAACUACGUG